GAUGAACGCUGGCGGCGUGCUUAACACAUGCAAGUCGAACAAGAACGGGCUAUAGCUUGCUAUAGUUGUCAGCUAAGUGGCGCACGGGUGAGUAAUGUAUAGGUAAUAUGCCUCUUACUAAGGGAUAACAAAUGGAAACGUUUGCUAAUACCCUAUACUCCUUAUUAACAGAAGUUAAUAAGGGAAAGAUUUAUUGGUAAGGGAUUAGCCUGUAUUGUAUCAGUUAGUUGGUGGGGUAAUGGCUUACCAAGACUAUGACACAUAACUGGUUUGAGAGGAUGAUCAGUCACACUGGAACUGAGACACGGUCCAGACUCCUACGGGAGGCAGCAGUGGGGAAUAUUGCACAAUGGACGAAAGUCUGAUGCAGCAACGCCGCGUGGAGGAUGACACAUUUCGGUGCGUAAACUCCUUUUAUAUGAGAAGAUAAUGACGGUAUUAUAUGAAUAAGCACCGGCUAACUCCGUGCCAGCCGCCGCGGUAA
rnacentral:rRNA from 1 species